UCGUGUUCAGAGGCAGACCGAGGUAUCUGAUAGGGAAGGUGCCUGCUGGGAUGCCGCAAGUCUCUGUGAUUGCAUCAAUUUCGACUUCAGAGAGGCCACUGGAGAAGAAACAUGAUUUUUCUACACUGAUUGAUAGUCCAGAGAAGGCCUUGAAUUCAUCAAGGACCUGGAGAAUCAUCUGUACUGAGUUGAGGGAACCAUCCGUGAAGACUAGGAUGUCAUCGGCAAAGCAUAAAUGGGCCAAACAAGUAGGGCGAUAGCGGAUCACCCUGUCGAAGUCCCCUAGUGCCUUUGAAAAAACCGUGGAGUCUACCAUUGAUGCCAACAGAGAAUGACGGGGAGGUGAAGCAGGCUGCGAGCCUCUGGAUGUAGUCUUGUGGGAGGUUAAGAGAUAGGAGGCAAGCAAUGAGGAAGUCCCAUCUUACAGAAUCAAAAGCCUUGGCUAUGUCCAGUUUUAAGGCAGCCGAGAGAGAAGAGCCGCUUGAGCUUGAGAGCAGGAAAAGCGGUCUGUUCGGAUCAUGUCAGCAACAGAGGAGAUCAUCAGGGGGGUAGUUUUCGGAGUAGGCGGCCCAAGGAUGUUCAAGAAGUGCGCCACAGCAAGGUUACCAAUAUCUUCAGAAACUGGAGUUUUUCAAGGAGGGCUUUCUCUGCGGCAAAGUUAUCUGAUGUGGGUUGACGUAG